rnacentral:rRNA from 1 species
CGGAGAGGGAGCAUGAGAAACGGCUACCACUUCUAAGGAAGGCAGCAGGCGCGCAAAUUACCCAAUCCUGACUCAGGGAGGUAGUGACAAGAAAUAACAAUAAACCGGCUUAUGCCGGUUUAAUUGGAAUGAGUACAAUUUAAACAUCUUAACGAGGAACAAUUGGAGGGCAAGUCUGGUGCCAGCAGCCGCGGUAAUUCCAGCUCCAAUAGCGUAUACUAAAGUUGUUGCAGUUAAAAAGCUCGUAGUUGGAUUUCUGCGGGGACGGAGCGGCCGGUCGCAACUUGCGACUCGAGCUAGCGCUUUCCCCGCAUCCUGCCGCGAACCGUGCUACCAUUAGUUUGGUGGCGCUGGGGAUCGGCUCGAUUACUUUGAGAAAAAUAGAGUGUUCAAAGCAGGCCACACGCCUUGAAUAAGUUAGCAUGGAAUAAUGACUAAGGACUUUGGUUCUUUUCGUUGGUGUUCGGGACUGAAGUAAUGAUUGAUAGGGACAGUUGGGGCGGUCCGUAUUCCAAAGCGAGAGGUGAAAUUCUUAGACCUUCGGAAGACGAACAGCUGCGAAAGCGUUCCGCAAGGAUGUUCCCUUUGAUCAAGAACGAAAGUUGGGGGAUCGAAGACGAUCAGAUACCGUCGUAGUCUCGACUAUAAACUAUACCAGCUAGGGAUCGGCCAACGUUUAAUUAUUCGACUUGGUCGGCACCUUAUGAGAAAUCAAAGCAUCUGGGUUCCGGGGGGAGUAUGGUCGCAAGGCUGAAACUUAAAGGAAUUGACGGAAGGGCACCACCAGGCGUGGAGCCUGUGGCUUAAUUUGACUCAACACGGGAAAACUUACCAGGUCCAGACAUAGGAAGGAUUGACAGAUUGAUAGCUCUUUCUUGAUUCUGUGGGUGGUGGUGCAUGGCCGUUUUUAGUCGGUGAAGUGAUUUGUCUGCUUAAUUGCGUUAACGGACGAGACCCCAGCCUGCUAAAUAGCGCGGCCAAGCUUUGCUCGGUACGAGCUUCUUAGAGGGACCAUGAUGCGCGAUAGCACAAGGAAGUUUGGGGCAACAACAGGUCUGUGAUGCCCUUAGAUGUUCUGGGCCGCACACGGGCUACACUGGCGCCUGCAACGAGCAUAUCAGCUGGCCCGAGAGGGUCUUGGUUAAUCUUUGGAACCGGCGCCGUGCUUGGGAUUGACCAUUGCAAUUGUUGGUCAUGCAACGAGGAAUGCCUUGUAAACGCGAGUCAUCAGCUCGCAUUGAAUGCGUCCCUGCCCUUUGUACACACCGCCCGUCGCUCCUACCGAUGAAUGUUCCGAUGAAAUUUUCGGAGAGCGCCGGAGAACGGGGCUCUGCCCUGCAGAACUGGAGGCUCAAAGUCACUUAAAUCUGAACAUUUCGAGGAAGGAGAAGUCGUAACAAGGUAACC